UGUAAAUAAUGUAGUGUAAUUAGAAAGAAAUUAUCGUGAUUUUCCCAGGGAUUUUGCCGAUUUUCAGUAGGAGAUUAAAAUAUUUACCGAAACGGAAGCGCUCUGCUUGUAGGGUGCAGCGAUACGCCUGAGCCAUGCAAGCUAGAAGGCAUAUGCACUCGUCUGCGCAGGAACCGAUCAACUCUUGGAGGAAAUCCUUCGGUUCCGUGAGAGGUACUCGAGAAGGAACACAGCAUCAAGCGUAAUAUCGAGGAUCGUGAAGGAAAAAUCAAUACCCUGUAAGAAGGAGCUGAAGCGACGACGAAACGAGUGCAGAGCGUUGGAGGGUGUCCGCGUGUCCGGGCACAGCAAAUUCCUUCCCUGACGACAUUGGGCAAUCACAGGUCUACGCGAGCUAAUGAAUCCACGAUGAAGAAAAACUGACGGAAGCAUCCCACGUACACAAUUUGGUCAAUUGACAGCUGGAAUCGUAACUACAGGAAAUGAUUCGUGCAACAAAACGGUGAUCUAAAAUAUUU